UACGUUAAAGUGUAAGAUGCACACUAGUUUUUGAAACUGGUUGAAAUAGUUUAAUUCUAUUUAAUGUAA
rnacentral:tRNA from 1 species